rnacentral:lncRNA from 1 species
GAUUUCAAAGACAAAAAGGAGAAGAAGGGGAAAAAAAUAAAAAAUAAAAUAAUACAAAAAUUUCUUCCCCGCCACUGGCGCCGCGGAUGCGAACCGGGAGCUGCUCAGCUGCCUUGGGACCGGUGCUGGGCCCCAAAGCGGCCCCAAAACUUUGUGGGAAGGGGCUGGGACGUAGCCCCCAUCCCAGCUGGGGCAGUGCUGGUCCCGCUGUGAUGCUGUGGGGCAUGGAUGGAGCCACGCUGGGCUCUAAGGGAGAGUUUUGGAGGCCUCACCGCCUCUUAAAUCCGGCCUCAUCUUCUCCUCUUGACUCGCUGUGGCUCAGCAGGAGGGUUAUGGACAUGGAUGGCUGUGAAAUUCUCCGCUGCCCAUCUCCCAGGCCACAGGGUUUGGAUGGCUUCGGUGCCAUGGGACACGCCAGGAGAGGGUAAACAGUGUGGCUUGUCGAAAACGCUCACCUCUCCUGAUUAAUUUACCCCUAAUGACAAAGAUGGCUCUGCAAUCAGCGCGGGCAUGCGGGGAGUGAAAUCCGCCUGGUUCUCCCUGUUAGCAGGGCUGACUGGGGAGAGGGGCCGGCACCGAGCGGAGGGGAGGGCGCUGCGCAGGGCCCUGAUCGAUUCUAUUUACCCAUCCGGAGCGAGAUUGGAUUUAUUGUCAGUGGGAAGAAGACAAACUGAUCACUUCUGCUCGGCGCCGUAUUGGCACUUCCAAGAUCUGCUGAAGGAGGGGAAACUUGGAGGAGUUCGGCUUAGGUUUUAACCCUCUUCUGAACCACCCCUCCUCUGUCCUUCGUGCACAGGGUCCUGGUUUCCCCCAAGCUCACCCACAGAAGCCCCCGCUCACUUUGGGCUGUGCUGGGGGGCUGCAGGCGGUGACUCGAUGUGGCCAUGAGAGGCCGGAGGAUUCCCAGCGGUGUGAACCAGCCGGGUGUCCAGCGGCCACAGCACCCUCGUGGUGCCAUCAGGCUGCUCCGGGGGACACUGGGGAGCCACUGGAGACGUUGGGAAGUGGGAAUGGGGGAAAAAGCUCUUCUAUUCUCACUGCAGGAGAAAAACCAUCCAGUGGUGUUCAGGCAGGCCGAGAGGCAGGAUGGUCUGCCCGAGACAAGGCGGAAUAAGGACAGACAAGGCUGUCGAACUUCUCCUUCGCCAGUUCCUUUUGCCUCUGUCAGGUUUUGAAGACAUAAACCAAACCAUCCCCUCCAUUUAAAUCAUGUACCUAAUCCCCUAACUCUCUUAAUUAAGCAGAGGGAAGUUUAAAUUGUUCUGACCAUCUUUGGGGGGAUUAUAUAUUUCAAUCAUCAUUAUAGUGUGGCUAUUUGUGAUACCACGAGAUAGAUAGGUAUAUCCGUUGUAUAAUCAGGCAUACAAAUUAUAAUCCCCCCAAAGACGUUUAAAUAACAAUUUAAAAUGCCGACUGCUGGACGUAGGG